UUGACACUGAACACUGGUCCUUGAUGUGUAGGAUAGGUGGGAGGCUUUGAAGCGUGGACGCCAGUCUGCGUGGAGCCGUCCUUGAAAUACCACCCUUUAAUGGCUGGUGUUCUAACGUAGACCCGUGAUCCGGGUUGCGGACAGUGUCUGGUGGGUG
rnacentral:rRNA from 1 species